UGACAAGAUCGACUGUAUUCAUGUGCUUCCUGCCAGCCACAGAAGCAGAAAAGUGGUGCUAAAAAUCACAUCUAAAGGACACCUAUUCCACAAUUAUGCUUGUAUUUGCAGAACACAGCAAAAAAGAUUACAGUUCCGUGAACAUCAUCACACCCUGUGACAAAAGAAGCAGCGUAAUCUUCCCAUCUAAAUAAAGCAAAUAAGCACAGUGUUCCUGAGCCAGA